rnacentral:tRNA from 1 species
GGGGAUAUAGCUCAGCUGGGAGAGCGCCUGCCUUGCAAGCAGGAGGUCG